UUUAACCAAAAGAGCAUGGGCAGAUAUUUCCCGGAUCUGAACAGGAAUAGCUGGUGUCUGGACUCUAUGAAGAAUCUUCAUGUGCAGUGAUAGAAGAAUAAACACAUUUGAACCAAGUUCACCAUGGAGAGAGUGAGUGGGUUGGGGAAAAGGUGUUGUAUGUUUGAGGAGCGAGGAGAAGGUGUCAAAUAAUCAUCCAGGCAGACUUUUGUAGUGCACAGUGACCGGUGACCAGCAGCAUGUGUUUCCAUAGGCAUCUUCUCUCAGUACCCCAGAAGGUGAAUUGCCAGUGAGUCCUGCCAGGAUGCCCCUCGGUGACUGCACCACCCAGUAAAAAGACAUCCCUUAACUAUGGCAAAACAACAACAACAACGACGACAAAAAACAAAACAAAACAAAACAAAACCCUGCAUCAAUUUGAUAAAUAAUCCUCCCCGUUGA
rnacentral:lncRNA from 10 species